rnacentral:rRNA from 1 species
UACGUAGGGUCCGAGCGUUGUCCGGAUUUAUUGGGCGUAAAGAGCUCGUAGGCGGUUUGUUGCGUCGGCUGUGAAAUCCCGAGGCUCAACCUCGGGUCUGCAGUCGAUACGAGCAAACUAGAGUGUUGCAGGGGAGACUGGAAUUCCUGGUGUAGCGGUGAAAUGCGCAGAUAUCAGGAGGAACACCGGUGGCGAAGGCGGGUCUCUGGGCAGCAACUGACGCUGAGGAGCGAAAGCGUGGGGAGCGAACAGG